GCGGGUAUAGUACAAUGGCUAGUACGCCAGCCUUCCAAGCUGGAUAUACGGGUUCGAUCCCCGUUACCCGCUCCA
rnacentral:tRNA from 2 species